rnacentral:lncRNA from 1 species
AGGAAAACAUGGGAAAAAUGAAGAAUAUCUCGCGGGAAAAAUCCAGCCUACGCGGGCUUUGAACUCUGCACAAGUGUGCGUGCGCGCAGCCAACACCGGACGAACGCACUAUGUGCACAUCCCGUCUGUGCAGGGUGAUAGGCACAAUCUACGCGCGUGACUCCACAUGCCCUGUGCGCAUGUUGUCCACACGAUAAGCCUAUGCGCGGGAGGCCAGUGUGCACGGUAGGCUAGGCUUGCAGUGUGCGCGAUAGGCUGGGCAGUG